GGACGAACGCUGGCGGCGUGCCUAAUACAUGCAAGUCGAACGAAGCUUUCUUUCACCGAAUGCUUGCAUUCACCGAAAGAAGCUUAGUGGCGAACGGGUGAGUAACACGUAGGCAACCUGCCCAAAAGAGGGGGAUAACACUUGGAAACAGGUGCUAAUACCGCAUAACCAUGAACACCGCAUGAUGUUCAUGUAAAAGACGGCUUUUGCUGUCACUUUUGGAUGGGCCUGCGGCGUAUUAACUUGUUGGUGGGGUAACGGCCUACCAAGGUGAUGAUACGUAGCCGAACUGAGAGGUUGAUCGGCCACAUUGGGACUGAGACACGGCCCAAACUCCUACGGGAGGCAGCAGUAGGGAAUCUUCCACAAUGGACGAAAGUCUGAUGGAGCAACGCCGCGUGAAUGAAGAAGGCCUUCGGGUCGUAAAAUUCUGUUGUCAGAGAAGAACGUGCGUGAGAGUAACUGUUCACGUAUUGACGGUAUCUGACCAGAAAGCCACGGCUAACUACGUGCCAGCAGCCGCGGUAAUACGUAGGUGGCGAGCGUUGUCCGGAUUUAUUGGGCGUAAAGGGAACGCAGGCGGUCUUUUAAGUCUGAUGUGAAAGCCUUCGGCUUAACCGAAGUAGUGCAUUGGAAACUGGAAGACUUGAGUGCAGAAGAGGAGAGUGGAACUCCAUGUGUAGCGGUGAAAUGCGUAGAUAUAUGGAAGAACACCAGUGGCGAAAGCGGCUCUCUGGUCUGUAACUGACGCUGAGGUUCGAAAGCGUGGGUAGCAAACAGGAUUAGAUACCCUGGUAGUCCACGCCGUAAACGAUGAGUGCUAAGUGUUGGAGGGUUUCCGCCCUUCAGUGCUGCAGCUAACGCAUUAAGCACUCCGCCUGGGGAGUACGGUCGCAAGACUGAAACUCAAAGGAAUUGACGGGGGCCCGCACAAGCGGUGGAGCAUGUGGUUUAAUUCGAAGCAACGCGAAGAACCUUACCAGGUCUUGACAUCUUCUGACAAUUCCAGAGAUGGAACGUUCCCUUCGGGGACAGAAUGACAGGUGGUGCAUGGUUGUCGUCAGCUCGUGUCGUGAGAUGUUGGGUUAAGUCCCGCAACGAGCGCAACCCUUAUUGUCAGUUGCCAUCAUUAAGUUGGGCACUCUGGCGAGACUGCCGGUGACAAACCGGAGGAAGGUGGGGAUGACGUCAAAUCAUCAUGCCCCUUAUGACCUGGGCUACACACGUGCUACAAUGGACGGUACAACGAGUCGCUAACUCGCGAGGGCAAGCUAAUCUCUUAAAGCCGUUCUCAGUUCGGAUUGCAGGCUGCAACUCGCCUGCAUGAAGUCGGAAUCGCUAGUAAUCGCGAAUCAGCAUGUCGCGGUGAAUACGUUCCCGGGCCUUGUACACACCGCCCGUCACACCAUGAGAGUUUGUAACACCCAAAGUCGGUGGGGUAACCUUUUGGAGCCAGCCGCCUAAGGUGGGACAGAUGAUUGGGGUGAAGUCGUAACAAGGUAGCCGUAGGAGAACCUGCGGCUGGAUCACCUCCUUUCUAAGGAAUAAAUUACGGAAUCUGCACAUGRUUCGAAACUUUGUUUAGUUUUGAGGGAUUUGUUUCCUCAAAACUUGUUCUUUGAAAACUAGAUAAUAUUUUAUUUCUUUGUUAAUUUUUAUAACCGAGAACACCGCGUUUUAAAGAGUUUAAAACAAGAAAUUAGUUUUUAAUCGCAAAACUCAUAACCGUUUAUCGCAAGAUAAAUAUUAUAGGUUAAGUUAUUAAGGGCGCAUGGUGGAUGCCUUGGCACUAGGAGCCGAUGAAGGACGUGACUAACUGCGAUAUGCUUCGGKGAGUCGUAAGUAGACUGUGAUCCGGAGAUUUCCGAAUGGGGAAACCCAACAGGUUUUGCCUGUUAUCGCUCAAUGAAUUCAUAGUUGAGCUGAAGGUAGACGCGGGGAACUGAAACAUCUAAGUACCCGCAGGAAGAGAAAGAAAAUUCGAUUCCCUAAGUAGCGGCGAGCGAACGGGGAACAGCCCAAACCAGAGAGCUUGCUCUUUGGGGUUGUAGGACUGGACAUCUGAGUUACCAAGAAAUAACGUAGUCGAAUGAUAUGGGAAGAUCAGCCAGAGAAGGUAACAGCCCUGUAAACGAAACGUUGUUUCCUCAGUCCAGGAUCCUGAGUACGGCGGAACACGUGAAACUCCGUCGGAAUCCGGGAGGACCAUCUCCCAAGGCUAAAUACUCCCUAGUGACCGAUAGUGAACCAGUACCGUGAGGG
rnacentral:rRNA from 2 species